rnacentral:pre_miRNA from 1 species
AGUGAGAUAGCUGGGUCAAAUGGUUGAUUCCCAAUUUUCUGAGGAAUCUCCAUACUGCUUUCCAUAGUGGUUACACCAAUUUUCAGCUCCACCUGCAAU